rnacentral:rRNA from 1 species
GUAGUUGGUGAGGCAAUGGCUCACCAAGCCUUUUACCGGUGCGGGCCGUGAGAGCGGGAGCCCGGAGAUGGGCACUGAGACAAGGGCCCAGGCCCCACGGGGCGCAGCAGUCGCGAAAACUUUGCAAUACACGAAAGUGUGACAGGGCUAUCCCGAGUGCCAUCCGCUGAGGAAGGCUUUUACCCAGUAUAAAUAGCUGGGAGAAUAAGGAGAGGGCAAGUCUGGUGUCAGCCGCCGCGGUAAUACCAGCUCUCCGAGUAGUGUGGACGUUUAUUGGGCCUAAAGCAUCCCUAGCUUGCUAGAUAAGUCCUCUGUUAAAUCCACCGAUUCAAUCGUUGGAUAGCGGGGGAUACUGUUUGGCUAGGGGACGGGAGAGGUCGACGGUAUUUCCGGGGUAGGGGUGAAAUCCUAUAAUCCCGGGAAGACCACCAGUGGCGAAGGCUGUCGACUAGAACGCGCCCGACGGUGAGGGAUGAAAGCUGGGGGAGCGAACCGGAUUAGAUACCCGGGUAGUCCCAGCUGUAAACGAUGCAGGCUAGGUGUUUGGGCGGCCACGAGCCGCCCUAGUGCCGCAGGGAAGCUGUUAAGCCUGCCGCCUGGGGAGUACGGCCGCAAGGCUGAAACUUAAAGGAAUUGGCGGGGGAGCACCACAAGGGGUGAAGCUUGCGGUUUAAUUGGAGCAACGCCGGAAAUCUCACCGGGAUCGACAGCAGUAUGAAGGCCAGAUUAAAGGUCUUGCUAGACGAGCUGAGAGGAGGUGCAUGGCCGUCGCCAGUUCGUGCCGUGGGGUGUCCUGUUAAGUCAGGCAACGAUCGAGACCCGCGUCCUCUGUUGCUACUGGUUUUGUGCCAGGCACACUGAGGAGACCGCCGCUGAUAAAGCGGAGGAAGGAGCGGGCCACGGCAGGUCAGUAUGCCCCGAAUAUCCCGGGCCACACGCGAGCUGCAAUGGCAGGUACAAUGGGUUCCGACCUCGUAAGGGGAAGGCAAUCUCGAAAGCCUGCCGUAGUUGGGAUCGAGGGUUGAAACUCACCCUCGUGAACAUGGAAUCCCAAGUAAUCGCGUGUCACUAGCGCGCGGUGAAUACGUCCCUGCUCCUUGCACACACCGCCCGUCGUUCCACCCGAGCGACUCCUGGGUGAGGCGUGGUCUUCCUUGGCUGCGUCGAAUCUGGGUUUCGCAAGGGGGGAAAAGUCGUAACAAGGUG